AUACGUAGGGGGCGAGCGUUGUCCGGAAUGAUUGGGCGUAAAGGGCGCGUAGGCGGCCCGGUAAGUCUGGAGUGAAAGUCCUGCUUUUAAGGUGGGAAUUGCUUUGGAUACUGUCGGGCUUGAGUGCAGGAGAGGUAAGUGGAAUUCCCGGUGUAGCGGUGAAAUGCGUAGAGAUUGGGAGGAACACCAGUGGCGAAGGCGACUUACUGGACUGUAACUGACGCUGAGGCGCGAUAGUGUGGGGAGCAAACAGUAUUAGAUACCCUGGUAGUCCACGCUGUAAACGAUGAUUACUAGGUGUUGGGGACCUAUAGGUCUUCGGUGCCGCAGCAAACGCAAUAAGUAAUCCACCUGGGGAGUACGUUCGCAAGAAUGAGACUCAAAGGAAUUGACGGGG
rnacentral:rRNA from 1 species